UUGUUUAUCAAAAACAUUUCUUUUCUUGUGAAAAGUAGGCUCUGCUCAAUGAAAGUCUUAAUAGCCGCAGUAUCUUGACUGUGCUAAGGUAGCAUAAUAAUUUGUCUUAUAAUAGAAGACUGGGAUGAAAGAGUUAACGUCAUUUUUUCUUUCUUAAAAUAAAUUUUUGAAUUUAAUUUUUACGUAAAAAAGCGUAGCUAGAUAAAAGGGACGAUAAGACCCUGUAAAGCUUUAUUAAAAUCUAGGUUUAGGACGAAGGCCUUUAGAAAUAAGUUUUGAUUGAGCUGGGGCGGCAAGUAUUGUAACAAUAAUUAAAUUUAACAAAAAUUUUUGAAUAUAAAGACCUUGGUGUAAAAGUUAGAAUAAGCUACUUCAGGGAUAACAGCACAAUUUUUUCGGAGAGACCUUAUUAAAGAAAAAGACUUGUGACCUCGAUGUUGAAUUGAAGGGCUCUAUUUAAGCAGAAAUAAAUAAGAGGAGUCUGUUCGACUUUUAAUUCUUCACGUGAUCUGA
rnacentral:rRNA from 1 species